ANGAGUUUGGCCGAGUGGUUUAAGGCGUCAGAUUUAGGNUCUGAUAUCUACGGAUGCAAGGGUUCGAAUCCCUUAGCUCUCA
rnacentral:tRNA from 1 species